GGGUAACCUAACCUAUGCAGGGGAAUAACCUCGGGAAACUGAGUAUAAUACCCCAUAGUCCACUACGCCUGGAACGGUGAGUGGAUAAAAGCUCAGGCGGCAUAGGAUGGGCCUGCGGCGUAUCAGGUCGUAGGGGGUGUAAAGUACCCUCUAGCCAUCUACGCGUACGGGUGUUGGGAGACAUAGCCCGGAGAUGGAUUCUGAGACACGAAUCCAGACCCUACGGGGUGCAGCAGGCGCGAAAACUUGACAAUGCGAGCAAUCGUGAUCAGGGAACUCCAAGUGGCUGGGGUAAGACCCAGUCUUUUCAUAACUCUUCAAAGGUUGUAGAAUAAGGGGUGGGUAAGGACGGUGCCAGCCGCCGCGGUAAUACCGGCGCCUCAAGUGGUAGUCGCUUUUAUUGGGCCUAAAACGUCCGUAGCCGGUUUGGUACAUUCGUGGGUAAAUCAACUCGCUCAACGAGUUGAAUUCUGCGAGGACGGCCAGACUUGGGACCGGGAGAGGUGUGGGGUACUCUCAGGGUAGGGGUAAAAUCCUGUCAUCCUGAGAGGACCACCUGUUGCGAAGGCGCCACACUAGAACGGAUCCGACGGUCAGGGACGAAGCCUAGGGGCACGAACCGGAUUAGAUACCCGGGUAGUCCUAGGUGUAAACGCUGUGGACUUGAUGUUGGAGAAGCUCCGAGCUUCUUCAGUGUCGAAGCGAAGGUGAUAAGUCCACUGCCUGGGAAGUACGGUCGCAAGGCUGAAACUU
rnacentral:rRNA from 1 species